CAGAUAUUGGCUGCUCCUUCAAUCCUACGCUAUCCUACUAGUGUACAUCAACAGCGCCUCGAACCCAGUCCUUUAUGCGUUCAUGGGCAACCGCUUCAAGGACGGCUUCAAGAGAUUGCUAUGCUGUCGAAAGUUUCCGAAGUUUAACCGAGCAUUCACGAGAAACAAUCGGCAGUCGGUCACAACGAAAGAGUUUGGGAUGAGCGAACGAAGCUCGUAGAAAAAUAAGAUGUAUAGCUUUAUAGCAUUGAUACCCGUUUACAGCAAAAGUGUCUUGCUAGCCCAGACUGCCAUUAAAGCAAGUUUACACCGGGCAAUCUGUGAGAUCUUCUUAUAGUAGUAUGAGAUGUGCUUGAACAGUUGAGCGCUUAAUUGGAAGACAAUAUAGGUUACCAUCAUGAUAUGAGCGGAGAAUAUAGCUUACUAUGACUUGAGCAGCCACUUAGGCAACCGUACACUUCUACUGGUUUCAUUUUUAAAAGCGUCUACAUUGUAUACCCAGGGAUGAAUUUUCCGGGGGUUGUUGCGUGGUGCGAAUCUUUUCGCUAGCUUGGGGGGUGGCGAUUACCUUAUCAAGUUCAUUUUUUUAUUUGAAAAGCCAUUGAUUAUGAAAACGAAGAGACAAACAUGAGAUAGGAACAUGAUUGUUAAACUGUCAGGGUAUACUGCAGAAUAGCGCGUUGUUGCUGUAGCUCCUCCUCAACUUGGUCAACGACCGCAUCCUAAACUAUGGCCAAAGAUGGAUGAGCACAAAGAUGGAUGAGCUUUACCGACCAACAACAUUUUGCCGAUCAUUUCCAAUCAAUUUACCAACAAGUCACUUUUUACCCCACAUCAUCUCCGUUUUACCGACGAGUUUUCUAAAAAGUUGGGGUGGGUCGCACAUCCUCCGCCCCCCCCCCCCCCCCCCACACACACACACCGCUCGGUACGCCCCUAGAAUGAAUACAGUGUCUCUCCUACUGUCCACUUAUCAGUGUUUCUCCAACUGCAAACUAAGUCAGCCAUAUUAUAUUAUCUAUUUUGCUAAUGUCAUGCAUAAAACGUACAGGCAAUCCGUUGAAGGUUAUUUUAACAAUAACCAUAUAUAUUAAAAGUUUAUAAUUAGUUUAAGAAAUAUAGAAUACAAUUAUAUAUUGCUUUUAUUAUACGAAAUAAAAUAUACUGAUAUAUUUAAACAAAAG